UGGGGAAUCUUGCACAAUGGGGGAAACCCUGAUGCAGCGACGCCGCGUGAGCGAUGAAGCCCUUCGGGGUGUAAAGCUCUUUCGACGGGAACGAUAAUGACGGUACCCGGAGAAGAAGCUGCGGCUAACUACGUGCCAGCAGCCGCGGUAAUACGUAGGCAGCGAGCGUUGUUCGGAGUUACUGGGCGUAAAGAGUAUGUAGGCGGUUGCGCAAGUUCGGUGUGAAAUCUCCCGGCUUAACUGGGAGGGUGCGCCGAAGACUGCGUGGCUAGAGUGCGGGAGAGGAGAGCGGAAUUCCUGGUGUAGCGGUGAAAUGCGUAGAUAUCAGGAGGAACACCGGUGGUGUAGACGGCUCUCUGGACCGCAACUGACGCUGAGAUACGAAAGCGUGGGGAGCAAACA
rnacentral:rRNA from 1 species